UUUGGACUCUGGUUGCAUACUAGGC
rnacentral:piRNA from 1 species